rnacentral:rRNA from 1 species
CCUACGGGGGGCAGCAGUGAGGAAUAUUGGUCAAUGGGCGCAAGCCUGACCCAGCGACGCCGCGUGAGGGAAGACGGUCUUCGGAUUGUAAACCUCUUUCAGCAGGGAAGACAAAAGGACGGUACCUGCAGAAGAAGCCACGGCUAACUACGUGCCAGCAGCCGCGGUAACACGUAGGUGGCAAGCGUUAUCCGGAAUUACUGGGUGUAAAGGGUGUGUAGGCGGGUUUGCAAGUCAGAUGUGAAAAUUAUGGGCUCAACCCAUAACCUGCGUCUGAAACUACAGAUCUUGAGAGGGGGAGAGGG